rnacentral:misc_RNA from 1 species
GACGAACCGGCCAAACGUUAUUCGGAAUUACUGGGCGUAAAGCGCACGCAGGCGGUCUGUCAAGUCGGAUGUGAAAUCCCCGGGCUCAACCUGGGAACUGCAUCCGAAACUGGCAGGCUAGAGUCUUGUAGAGGGGGGUAGAAUUCCAGGUGUAGCGGUGAAAUGCGUAGAGAUCUGGAGGAAUACCGGUGGCGAAGGCGGCCCCCUGGACAAAGACUGACGCUCAGACGCGAAAGCUAGGGUAGCAAACAGG